UACGAAGGGGGCUAGCGUUGCUCGGAAUUACUGGGCGUAAAGGGCGCGUAGGCGGCCUGUUAAGUCGAACGUGAAAUCCCCGGGCUCAACCCGGGAACUGCGUCCGAUACUGGCAGGCUUGAAUCCGGGAGAGGGAUGUGGAAUUCCAGGUGUAGCGGUGAAAUGCGUAGAUAUCUGGAGGAACACCGGUGGCGAAGGCGGCAUCCUGGACCGGACCUGACGCUGAGACGCGAAGGCGUGGGGAGCGAACGGG
rnacentral:rRNA from 1 species